rnacentral:rRNA from 1 species
CCUGAUGCAGCAACGCCGCGUGAGGGACGACGGCCUUCGGGUUGUAAACCUCUUUUAGUAGGGAAGAAGCGAAAGUGACGGUACCUGCAGAAAAAGCACCGGCUAACUACGUGCCAGCAGCCGCGGUAAUACGUAGGGUGCAAGCGUUAUCCGGAAUUAUUGGGCGUAAAGAGCUCGUAGGCGGUUUGUCGCGUCUGCUGUGAAAACUGGAGGCUCAACCUCCAGCCUGCAGUGGGUACGGGCAGACUAGAGUGCGGUAGGGGAGAUUGGAAUUCCUGGUGUAGCGGUGGAAUGCGCAGAUAUCAGGAGGAACACCGAUGGCGAAGGCAGAUCUCUGGGCCGUAACUGACGCUGAGGAGCGAAAGCGUGGGGAGCGAACAGGAUUAGAUACCCUGGUAGUCCACGCCGUAAACGUUGGGAACUAGAUGUGGGGGCCAUUCCACGGCUUCCGUGUCGCAGCUAACGCAUUAAGUUCCCCGCCUGGGGAGUACGGCCGCAAGGCUAAAACUCAAAGGAAUUGACGGGGGCCCGCACAAGCGGCGGAGCAUGCGGAUUAAUUCGAUGCAACGCGAAGAACCUUACCAAGGCUUGACAUAUACGAGAACGCUGCAGAAAUGUAGAACUCUUUGGACA